GUGCAGCAGGCGAGAAACCUCCCCAAUGCCCGAAAGGGUGAGGGGGUCACCCCGAGUGCCACCCUCGUGGUGGCUUUUGCGGGGUCUAAAAAGCCCCGCGAAUAAGGGGAGGGCAAGACGGGUGUCAGCCGCCGCGGUAAUACCCGCUCCCCGAGUGGUGGGGACUAUUACUGGGGCUUAAAGCGUCCGUAGCCGGCUGGGUGUGUCCCCCGUUAAAUCCACGGGGCCUAGCCCGUGGGCUGCGGGGGGAUACUACCUGGCUUGGGGGUGGGAGAGGGGCGGCGGUAUUCCCGGGGGUAGGGGUAAAAUCCGUCUGAUCCCGGGAGGACCACCAGUGGCGAAGGCGGCCGCCCAGAACACGCCCGACGGUGAGGGACGAAAGCUGGGGGAGCAAACGGGAUUAGAUACCCGCGUA
rnacentral:rRNA from 1 species